rnacentral:rRNA from 1 species
UGGCCCUACGGGGGGCAGCAGUGAGGGAUAUUGGUCAAUGGGGGAAACCCUGAACCAGCAACGCCGCGUGAGGGAAGACGGUUUUCGGAUUGUAAACCUCUGUCCUCUGUGAAGAUAAUGACGGUAGCAGAGGAGGAAGCUCCGGCUAACUACGUGCCAGCAGCCGCGGCAAUACGUAGGGAGCGAGCGUUGUCCGGAUUUACUGGGUGUAAAGGGUGCGUAGGCGGGUAAGCAAGGCAGAAGGGAAAU